rnacentral:rRNA from 1 species
UACGUAGGGAGCGAGCGUUAUCCGGAAUUAUUGGGCGUAAGGGGUGCGUAGAUGGCAUAGUAAGUCUUUUGUAAAAAUGCUGGGCUCAACCCAGUAGGGCAAAAGAUACUGCAAAGCUAGAGUAUGACAGAGGCAAGUGGAACUACAUGUGUAGCGGUAAAAUGCGUAAAUAUAUGUAAGAACACCAGUGGCGAAGGCGGCUUGCUGGGUCGAUACUGACAUUGAGGCACGAAAGCGUGGGGAGCAAACAGG